rnacentral:tRNA from 1 species
GGCGAGUUUGCCUAGCGGCCUAAGGCACUGGCUUGGAAAGUCAGAACCGGUAAAACGGUCGUGGGUUCGAAUCCCUCACUCGCCG